AAACGACUCUCGGCAACGGAUAUCUCGGCUCUCGCAUCGAUGAAGAACGUAGCGAAAUGCGAUACUUGGUGUGAAUUGCAGAAUCCCGUGAACCAUCGAGUCUUUGAACGCAAGUUGCGCCCGAAGCCUACGGCUGAGGGCACGUCUGCCUGGGCG
rnacentral:rRNA from 5 species